GCUGGGCGUGGUGGUGCAUGCCUGUAAUCCCAGUGGCUCCGGAGGCUGAGGCAGGAGGAUCGCAAGUUCAAAACCAGCUUCAGAAAAAGUGAGACACUAAGCAACUCAGUGAGACCUUGUCUCUA
rnacentral:sRNA from 1 species